GGCCAACCAGAGGCCAUAUUGGAAUCUAGUCGGCUUACACUUGGAUGGCACUGAGUGUCUGCCGUUCUGGUAGUCUCUAAAAAUCAUCUUCCAAACUUAUAUCGGAGUAUUCUUACACGACAUUCCCCUCAAGAGCCUGCCAGUUCUGAAAGGCACGUUGUCUCCGUGUUGUUGUGGAAAGAAUGAGUCCAACCGAUGCUAAACGAGGAGCUAAACGUAGGAAGAACAAGCGGGGCGGUGGCAGUAGCUGCAGUACUGUCUGCAACAGCAGCAGUGGCAAGGCCGGGGUUGUCUCGGCCCUAUGUUCUCAAGGAACGACAACACCUGUCCCUGCAGUAAGUUUUUUGACAUCCGAUUGCAGUGGAAAUGGGAAUAUAGCGUCAAUGGCUGGUCUGAAUGGAGAGGUUCCAAUGAACAAUAGUCUCACACCACAGUUCACAGAGGGGCCAGUCAAUGCUGACUUCUCAGGCGUCCUUCAGACCCCAUUCACCUUCGGUCUGAACCAGCGGGCACCCUACACGUCCGGUGACCGAUGCCUCUUGUGCCGCUGUGAACGCAAAGAAAGUGUCUUACAGUCUGAGACGGAGGGCUGCGGCCAGAAUGGCAGUGACCAGCCCACAAAGAACCCCAGUGCCCUACAGCUGCCCCUGUGGGUCUGUCCUGACUGCAGGCGCACGGUGGAGAAGGAGGACCGACAAACCGCUCUGGAGCAAUCGCUUGGGAGUCAGGACUUCCUCUUACACAUGCCUGUGGGUAAUGGAGGCCUGGUGCAGGAGCCCGCCCCCGCGGACAGACUGACCACUGCAGCGCCCGCCCUACCCAUGCUCCCGGCCCCCGACCUCACCACGCCAAUGACUGCAGACACUGUGUGCAGCUGUGAAGCCUGCAACGAAAGACGGGAGAUCUCGGCCGAGUCGGAGAGGGAGUCCCAGCAGCUGCAGAACCACUGGUCGGAGGUGAGGUACCUGGUGCGCUGCAUCUACCGGCAGACGGGAACCCCUCUGGGAGAGGACCACGACCAGCCGCUGGACAGGGACAAGGAGGGCAUGAAGGAGCUUGUGGAUAGGCUGUGCGAGAAGGACCCCUACCAGCUGUACCAGCGGCUGGAGCAGCAGGCCCGCGAGUACGUCCUGGAGAUGAAGGUGCGGCUGCUGAAGCACCUGUCUGCUGGCUCCAAGGCCGGGGCCGCGGUGGUGGGGUCCGGGGCAGCAGCAGCAGCCGCCCAGGGCCCGCCCCAGGCCCACCAGUUCGUCUCCCUGCUCCUGGACGAGUACAAUGCUCUCUGCCAGGCCGCACGCAGCAUCAGCAGCUUCCUGCUCACUCUGGAGAAUGAACACCUCCAGAAGUUCCAGGUGACGUGGGAGCUGCACAACAAGCACCUUUUUGAGAACCUGGUGUUCUCUGAGCCAAUCUUGCACAGCAGUUUACCUGCACUGGUUGCACAGCUGAAGCUGUGUACACACCAGCUUCCUGAUUGUGCCCCGUGUCUCGGCCCCGUCUCUGCUCCCAGACAGGGCUCGUCCUCUCAUGACUCAUACAGCGAGGACAUGUACGGCGCCCUGCUGGAGAGCUACCAGCAGCUGCAGCAUGACAUGGCCGCGGUGGCAGCCAAGUGGCAGCAGUGCGAGAGGAGGAUCGAUGACUACGUGGACGAGCAGCUGCUUUUUAAGGUGGAGGGUCAGAAUCUAACCAAUCAACGAACAGAGCCACACAAGUCUUUGAUUAGUAAAAACACACUGAAAACAAAACAGCAGAUGCUUAAAGAAGAUUGGGAGUUUUUUAAGCAAAGAAGAUUCAUAGAAGAGCAGUUAACGAACAGUAAAAAGUCCACUCCGGGGGAUAACUUCGAAGACACAAUGAGGAUGCUCUCCUCUCGGCUCAGCAUCCCAGAUUGUCCAAACUGCAAUUACCGAAGAAGGUGCACCUGUGACGACUGUAGCCUCUCCCACAUCCUCACCUGCGGCAUCAUGGACUCCCCGAUGGCCGAGGACCUCCACAUCAAGCUGCCCAUACACGGGGAGCCGCCCCGGGGCUACCUGGCCGAGGUGCACCCCCCCAGCCUGUCCUCCGGUAGCUCGGCCUCGGGCUCCAACUCCAGCUCCCCGGUCACCAUCCAGCAGCACCCCCGCCUCAUGCUGCCCCAGGGAGACACGCACAACUUCAUCAGCGACGACGACGAAGGACCGCCGAUGUCCACCAAGUUCGGGGACGUGUACGCCAUGGGUGCCUACGAGGACCACAGCGUCGUCACGGGUGCCGUGAACGGCCUGCACGCCGACCUGAACGGGGGAGGAGAGAGCGCAGAGCUGAAGGGUCUGAGCAGCAGCAGCAGCUCCUCGGAGGGCGAGGAGGAGGAAGAGGAGGAGGCCGACGGAGGGGGCGCCGGCGAGCCCCCCGGGCGUCCAAUGGACCACCCCUCUGGGACGGGCAACAGCCCCCCUCCCUCCUACAACCACCAGCUGGUAGAGCAGGCCCAGCACGCCUGCCAGUGCCACGUCUGCAGCCAGGAGCCCGGCUCCACCUCCUCCUCCUCCUCCGCCCUGCACUCCAGCCGCCUCCAGACCCCCGGCCCCCCGCCCGCGUUCGGACAGCAGUUCUUCACGGACACCAAGGCCCCCUCCUCCCACCCCGCGCUCCACCUCUACCCGCACAUCCACGGCCACCUGCCCCUGCACAACCUGUCCCACCUGCCCCGGCCGCUGCUCCACCCCACCCUCUACCCCCCCAGCUCGCCCCUCACACACAACAAGCCCCUCCCUCCGGCCCCCUCAUCGAACCACUCUGCGGCCAAGCAGCCGGCCUUCAGCCCCUCCCUCCCGGACCACGUCUACCAGAACUGCUUCGGUGCGGCGGGGGGCGGCACCGGGGACUGGAACAGCUCGCUGCAGUGCCUCUCGCUGAAGUUCGAGAACCUGUGGGACGCCGCAGUGAUGAAGAGCCUCAACACCUCCAUGCUGCUACCAGAGUCCCUUCCCGGUGACAUGCUCAGGCCCCCCCUCCCCGACGUGCCCCUCCCCCAGCCCUCCUGCUUCGGCGCCCACCGGGACGGCCUCUCGCUGGCCGCUCCUCUACCUCCUCCCUCCUGCUCCUCGUCCUCCUCGUCCUCCUCCUGCUCCACCUCCUCCAUGAUGGAGGCCAAGGAGCAGAAGAAGAGCGGCGCCAAGAAGAAGUGUCUGUACAACUUCCAGGACGCCUUCCUGGAGUCGCACCGCGUGGCCAUGGCCACCUCGGGCUCCACAGCCUCAGUGUCCUGCACCGCCACCACUGUGCAGUCAAGUAAUAACCCCACCCUCCACCUCUCAUCCAAAAGACCCAACUCUUUAGACGACGUGUUCCACAGUCUAGGCAAAGAGGACCACCGGCUACCCAGCCCGGUCGCCCCCAGGAACAGCCCCACGGGCCUGGCCUCCCUCCCCCUGCUCUCAGGUCCCAGCCUGCCCACGCCGCCCAACACCCACCUGCCCGCCAUGGGCUCGCAGCCCUUCCCGAGGAUGCCAACCCCCGCCCCCGGGUUCCUGGAGGCCCACCACCAGGGCCUGUGCCUCUCGCCCGCCGAGCCCCCCGCCCCCUCCAUCGACGGCCCCGUCAGUGCCCCGCCCAGCGUAUGCAGUGAUCCGGACUGCGAGGGCCAUCGCUGCGAGGGCAACGGGGCCUACGAGCACCAGCCCUACGACGGGGAGGAGAGCCAGGACGAGGACAGCUGCUCCGAGCACAGCUCCUCCACCUCCACCUCCACCAAUCAGAAGGAGGGAAAGUACUGUGACUGCUGCUACUGCGAGUUCUUUGGUCACGGAGGGCCCCCGGCGGCCCCCACCAGCCGUAACUACGCCGAGAUGCGGGAGAAGCUGCGCCUGCGCCUCACCAAGCGGAAGGAGGAGCAGCCCAAGCGGGAGGAGCAGCAGCCGGUGGUGGAGCGGGACGGGGGCGUGGAGGACCACCGGCGCGUGGAGGACCUGCUGCAGUUCAUCAACAGCGCCGACAGCAAGCCCACCUCCAGCUCCAAGGCGGCCAAGAGGGCCCGGCACAAACAGAAGAAGCUGGAGGAGAAGGCCCGGCAGGAGGUGGAGGCCCGCGAGCGCGAGGAGCAGCUCCUGGAGGACGAGCGGCGGCGGCGGCAGCAGCAGGACGAGGAGGAGGCGGAGCUCCAGCGGGAGCUCCUCCGGCUGCAGGAGCUGCAGCACCUGCGCGCCGCCAAGAAGAAGCGGCGGGAGCGCGCCAAGGAGAACACGGCGCCGCCGCAGAACAGCCCGCAGCCCCUGAGGCAGACGGCGCAGAACGUCCUGGAGAACCUCCACAACGGCAAGUCGCAGCUCCUCCACGGCCUCAUCCGCCUGCCCGGCCACAAGGAGCCCCGCUUCGAGGCCACGCCCCCGCCGCCGCCGCCGCCGCCGCAGCUCCACAAGCAGCACAUCCCAAAGAGCCCCCGGGAGAAGGCCACGCCUCCGGCCCCAGGCUCCCUGCCCUCCCUGCCCGCCUCCCCGCUCCUCAACGGCACCGCGCUGGCGUCGCACCCGGAGCUCCACGGCAAGUCCCAGGUCCGCUCGGCCUCCCGGACGGCGUGCUGCGAGGCGGCGGUCCGGAAGACGCCGGAGAAGCCCCGGGGCUGUGACGCGGCCGGGCCGCUGACCAACGGCACCGCGCCCGCCACCUCCGCCGCCGCGCCCCACACCAAAGCAACGCAACCCAGGGCCGCCGCGGAGGCUCUGACCCCCCUCCCCGCCGCGGCCCAGCCCGGAAGAGAGGACCCGCAGCAGCUCCACCACCAACACCAUCACCUCCUCCACCACCACCACCGGGUCGUCAGCGGGAAGAGGCAGCACCAGAGCCACGCCCCCCCAGCGCCGCCUCCUCCUCCUCCUCCUCCUCCUCAUCAGCCCAUUACCCCCAGGUGAGGGAGGAGAGAAGGAGCCCACCUGUGUUGAACCACCGCCACCACUCAUCCUCCUCCUCAUCGUCACCCCCGCUGCCGCCGCCGCUGCCGGCCGGCCAAUCGGAGCAGCCCCAGCAGAACGGCAAGCCCCCCAAGGCGGAGUCGCCCCAGCCCAAAGGCAAGGCCAAGAAGAACAAGAAGAAGAAGGGGGACAAGAUGAACAGCUCCAUUGACGACGUAUUCCUGCCAAAAGACAUCGAUCUGGAUAGCACUGAAAUGGAUGAGACUGAGAGAGAGGUUGAGUAUUUCAAAAGGUUCUGCUUGGACUCUGCCCGUCAGACCCGCCAACGGCUUUCAAUCAACUGGUCCAACUUUAGUCUAAAGAAAGCAACGUUCGCCGCACACUGAGGACGUCUGUGAGUGACUUAUGGCUGUGUGACGUUAUCAGCCCCCCCCCCCCCCCCCAUGGCCGGGCUCGCAACCCCACCCCCCACCUCUUGUACCCCCAGACACCACACCCCACACCAUUCUGGCCCAUCCGUCGUGCCCCGCCCUUCUUUUCUGCUGUGCCCAAAUCACACACACACGCUGCCUUGCUUUGCUCCCGCCGCUGCUUCGUGGGCCAGCCACACCCUCCAUCGGAUUGAUCUUGAAAAGAAAAAAAAAUACACAAAAAUUAUGCGAUAAGAAAACGAUUAUUAUCGACACACAAAAAAAAACAUGAAAAAUCUGCUACCUUCUGAUGAAUUUUCCUUGCGUGCUUGUGUGCUUUUCAGUCCAAAUAGGGGGUCGGUGUCUCUCUCUCUUGCUCUCUAUCUCUCUAUCUCUCUCUCUCUCUCUUGACCGAAAAGCCAUGUUCUGAAAGUUAUCGUUUCUGACAUUGGCUGAUCUGUAGUCAAAAGUGCUAACUAUGUUUGGAUGGAAUCCUUCCAAAAUAAAAGAGACACAGACA